CGGUGGAUCACUCGGCUCGUGGAUCGAUGAAGGACGCAGCAAAAUGCGCGUCGAAUUGUGAACUGCAGGACACAUGAACAUCGACGCUUCGAACGCACAUUGCAGCCCACGGAUUCUGUUCCCGGGCUACGCCUGGCUGAGGGCCGGC
rnacentral:rRNA from 4 species